rnacentral:rRNA from 1 species
AAUAGAUACCCUGGUAGUCCAUGCCGUAAACGUUGGGAACUAGAUGUAGGGCCUGUUCCACGGGUUCUGUGUCGUAGCUAACGCAUUAAGUUCCCCGCCUGGGGAGUACGGCCGCAAGGCUAAAACUCAAAGGAAUUGACGGGGGCCCGCACAAGCGGCGGAGCAUGCGGAUUAAUUCGAUGCAACGCGAAGAACCUUACCAAGGCUUGACAUAUAGAAGAACACUGCAGAGAUGCAGGACUCUUUGGACACUUCUAUACAGGUGGUGCAUGGUUGUCGUCAGCUCGUGUCGUGAGAUGUUCGGUUAAGUCCGGCAACGAGCGCAACCCUCGUCCUAUGUUGCCAGCGGUUCGGCCGGGAACUCAUGGGAUACUGCCGUGGUCAACACGGAGGAAGGUGGGGAUGACGUCAAAUCAUCAUGCCCCUUAUGUCUUGGGCUUCACGCAUGCUACAAUGGCCGGUACAAAGAGCUGCGAUACCGCGAGGUGGAGCGAAUCUCAAAAAGCCGGUCUCAGUUCGGAUUGGGGUC